AUUGAACGCUGGCGGCAGGCCUAACACAUGCAAGUCGAACGAGUGGCGGACGGGUGAGUAAUGUCUGGGCAACUGCCUGAUGGAGGGGGAUAACUACUGGCAACGGUCGCUAAUACCGCCUACCAUCAUAUGUGCCCAGAUGGGAUUAGCUUGUUGGUGGGGUAACGGCUCACCAGGGCGACGAUCCCUGGCUGGUCUGAGAGGAGGACCAGCCAAACGGGAACGGAGACACGGUCCAGACUCCUACGGGAGGCAGAAGUGGGGAAUAGUGCACAAGGGGGGAAGGCCGGAUGCAGCCAUGCCGGGUGGAUGAAGAGGGCCUGCGGGUGGUAAGGUACUUUCAGCGGGGAGGCGUUACCCGCAGAAGAAGCACCGGCUAACUCCGUGCCAGCAGCCGCGGUAAUUC
rnacentral:rRNA from 1 species